GUGCUAGCUUGGGCAGCUCCAACACUAAAACUGGACCAACAGAGAACACUGGUAUGGCUCCAUGCAGGGAUGACAAUCCAAUCUGUGAGGUAUCCCAUAUUUUA
rnacentral:snRNA from 1 species